rnacentral:rRNA from 1 species
AUUGAACGCUGGCGGCAUGCCUUACACAUGCAAGUCGAACGGUAACGCGGGGCAACCUGGCGACGAGUGGCGAACGGGUGAGUAACGCAUCGGAACGUGCCCAAUAGUGGGGGAUAGCCCGGCGAAAGCCGGAUUAAUACCGCAUACGACCUAAGGGUGAAAGCGGGGGAUCGCAAGACCUCGCGCUAUUGGAGCGGCCGAUGUCAGAUUAGGUAGUUGGUGGGGUAAAGGCCCACCAAGCCGACGAUCUGUAGCUGGUCUGAGAGGACGACCAGCCACACUGGGACUGAGACACGGCCCAGACUCCUACGGGAGGCAGCAGUGGGGAAUUUUGGACAAUGGGCGCAAGCCUGAUCCAGCCAUGCCGCGUGCGGGAAGAAGGCCUUCGGGUUGUAAACCGCUUUUGUCGGGGAAGAAAAGGCUCGAACUAAUACUUUGGGCUCAUGACGGUACCUGAAGAAUAAGCACCGGCUAACUACGUGCCAGCAGCCGCAGUAACAC